rnacentral:rRNA from 1 species
GACGAACGCUGGCGGCGUGCUUAACACAUGCAAGUCGAACGGAAAGGCCCUGAUUUUGUGGGGUGCUCGAGUGGCGAACGGGUGAGUAACACGUGUGUAACCUGCCCUUGACUUUGGGAUAACUUCAGGGAACAGGGGCUAAUACCGGAUAGGAGCUCCUGCUGCAUGGUGGGGGUUGGAAAGUUUCGGCGGUUGGGGAUGGUCUCGCGGCUUAUCAGCUUGUUGGUAAGGUAACGGCUUAACAAGGCUACGACGGGUAGCCGACCUGAGAGGGUGAUCGGCCACACUGGAACUGAGACACGGUCCAGACGCCUAUGGGAGGCAGCAGUAGGGAAUCUGCCGCAAUGGGCGAAAGCCUGACGGAGCAACGCCGCGUGAGUGAAGAAGGUCUUCGGAUCGUAAAACUCUGUUAUUAGGGAAGAACAAAUGUGUAAGUAACUAUGCACGUCUUGACGGUACCUAAUCAGAAAGCCACGGCUAACUACGUG